rnacentral:rRNA from 1 species
CCCGCUGAACUUAAGCAUAUCAAUAAGCGGAGGAAAAGAAACUAACAAGGAUUCCCCUAGUAACUGCGAGUGAAGCGGGAAAAGCUCAAAUUUAAAAUCUGGUGGUCUUUGGCCAUCCGAGUUGUAAUUUAGAGAAGCGUCUUCCGCGCUGGACCGUGCACAAGUCUCCUGGAACGGAGCGUCGUAGAGGGUGAGAAUCCCGUCUUUGGCAUGGACACACCAGGGCUUUUGCUAUGCGCUCUCGAAGAGUCGAGUUGUUUGGGAAUGCAGCUCUAAAAUAGGUGGAGUACUCCCUCUAAAGCUAAAUAUUGGCGAGAGACCGAUAGCGAACAAGUACCGUGAGGGAAAGAUGAAAAGCACUUUGGAAAGAGAGUGACACAGUACGUGAAAUUGUUGAAAGGGAAACGCUUGAAGUCAGUCGCGUCUUCCGAGACUCAGCCUCGCCUCGGCUUGGCGUACUUCUCGGCCCGCCGGGUCAGCAUCAAUUUCGCCUCUCGGAUAAUGGCGAGGGAAAAGUGACACCUGUUGCGGUGUGUUAGUAGUCCCUCGUACGCAUGCGAGGGUGGGGAUUGAGGAACUCAGCACGCGCCCUCGGGCGUCGGGGUUUUCGCCCACGAUACGUGCUUCGGAUGUUGGCGUAAUGGCUUUAAACGACCCGUCUUGAAACACGG